UUAGAAUAAAACAAAUAAAUAAGAUAAAUAAAAAAACAUGUGGGAUGGGGGGUUAGGUUUCCUAUCACUUAGGCUUAGGUGGAAUUGAGAGAGGGGAGUGAGAAGAAGGGGGAAGAGAGAAGACGAAGGCGAUUUGUCGCGGUGAUAAGGCGAAGUUGAUUAUUUCGAGUCCAGGGUCUGUUUCGAAUCUCGGUUUAGCCUCGGUUUUUUCAGUGAUUCUCACGUAUUGGACCAUCUCCUUCACGGUUACUUCACAAAACGGAGGAAUGUGUGGACACUUAAUUGAUUUUAAGAUUACCAUUGUUGGACUCGACGGGAAGCAAUCAUGAUUGAAGAUGAAGAAAUCCAAUAUAUAUGGGGAAGUCCGAGUUUGUGAUCGAUGCCAAAUGAGCUAAAACAGUCACACAGGAUGAGACACCUUCUUCUGACUCAGCCCAACUGAAGGCCAAUUUGAAAACUUCCUCUCACCUGAAGACCCCAAUCAAUGUCAACCUCUACUACACUCGUCCAUAUUUCAUGAAUAAAUAUUCAUUUGUGCAUAUCUUUUUAACAAGUUCAUACUAAUGCAAUGAUCAUGCAAAAUAAAAUGGAGGAUGAUGCAAAUAUAAAAAAAUGAUGUACAUCUUUAGGCAGGUUUUUCUGAUGACACAAGUCAGUUUUGUAAUUACCAAACACUAAAAAGAUAUCCCUAAUCAUCUUAUUUGAGCCUAGACAUCAUGAAAGGUGAUUACUUUUAUAUAACCCUC